CAGAAGAGUCCAGAAAAAAAAAGA
rnacentral:rRNA from 1 species